rnacentral:lncRNA from 1 species
UGCCGAGACGCGGGGGGGGGGUGUGGAUUUCGCGUGGGGGGUGUUUGUAGAUAAUCGUGGCCAGUCCGACCCACAUUUUAACGAGAAAUGAGAAGGAUUGGGCUUAUCUCCUCAGUGCGUAGUGGUGCUCGCUUCUACCUGCCCUGCACCGGGUGGCGUUGGCUGUCGCUGGGAAAUAAAAAGAAGACAGCUAGCAGAAGCUGCUGAAAAGAGGCAGAUGGAGUGGCAGGUGGGAUAACACGUGGCUUCUGAAGAGAAGAGGACUUCUAUUGCCCAUAACUUGCCAGUUUCUGCAGCCAAGUGGCACCUGCUCAUAAUGUGGCUUUUGCUGUUUCCAUAUGAAGACUCAGCAGUACUUUGCCAUUGUGGGACAACGUGUGGAAACAUUCACUAAAAAUCUUAAGAACUAACUCUGAACACUAAGCAUCGUCUCGCAGAUCGCUUCAAAAACUCCUGGCAGGCAAAGCCCAGUGCUGGUAAGCUGGAAUGAAAGGCUGACUCUCCAUGACUGUGAUGGCAUUGUCUUUGCUGCAGUAACAGCAAGUGAGACCAUCUGCUGCUGCAUAUUGUUAAAAUACACUGCUUGUGCCAGAGACAGAGUGUUCAGAGCAGAACAUCCUGAAGUUUGGGGAGACACAGGGUGGGUGGCACCACAGUGGGCCCUGAGGAUCACAGGUGACUUCAAAUGUGGAUUUGGCAGUGACAGACUGAAUUCCUGGGACACAGCUCAUCAGGCACGAGUGGUGCCAGCAGUUUCUGGGCAAACCUGUCCAGCCCAUAAACAUUUGCUUGAUCCCACCUGUUUGUUCCACCUUAUUUUAGAUAACAUACCACAGGCUAAGAAAGCAGGAGAAAGAGCAAAGAAGCAGCACUGUACCUGUUAG